AGUGAACGCUGGCGGUAGGCCUAACACAUGCAAGUCGAACGGCAGCACAGUAAGAGCUUGCUCUUACGGGUGGCGAGUGGCGGACGGGUGAGGAAUACAUCGGAAUCUACUUUUUCGUGGGGGUUAAGGAAGGAAACGUUACCUAAUACCGGAUGCGACCUACGGGUGGAAGGAGGGGGACUUUGGACCCUGCUGGGGUUGAUUAGCCGAUGUCGGAUUAGCUAGUUGGCGGGGUAAAGGCCCAACAAGGCGACGAUCCGUAGCUGGUCUGAGAGGAUGAUCAGCCACACUGGAACUGAGACACGGUCCAGACUCCUACGGGAGGCAGCAGUGGGGAAUAUUGGACAAUGGGCGCAAGCCUGAUCCAGCCAUACCGCGUGGGUGAAGAAGGCCUUCGGGUUGUAAAGCCCUUUUGUUGGGAAAGAAAAGCAGCAGGUUAAUACCCCGCUGUUCUGACGGUACCCAAAGAAUAAGCACCGGCUAACUUCGUG
rnacentral:rRNA from 1 species